rnacentral:rRNA from 1 species
CCUACGGGAGGCAGCAGUGAGGAAUAUUGGUCAAUGGCCGGAAGCCUGAACCAGCCAUGCCGCGUGCAGGAUGACGGCCCUAUGAGUUGUAAACUGCUUUUGUACGAGGGUAAACCCCGAAACGUGUAUCGGGUUGAAAGUAUCGUACGAAUAAGGAUCGGCUAACUCCGUGCCAGCAGCCGCGGUAAUACGGAGGAUCCGAGCGUUAUCCGGAUUUUUUGGGUUUAAAGGGUGCGUAGGCGGUUUGAUAAGUUAGAGGUGAAAUGUCGGGGCUCAACCCCGAAACUGCCUCUAAUACUGUUGGACUAGAGAAUAGUUGCGGUAGGCGGAAUGUAUGGUGUAGCGGUGAAAUGCUUAGAGAUCAUACAGAACACCGAUUGCGAAGGCAGCUUACCAAACUAUAUCUGACGUUGAGGCACGAAAGCGUGGGUAGCAAACAGGAUUAGAUACCCCAGUAGUC